UAAAAUAUAAAGUAAACAUUCUCAUGUCCAUCAAGCAGCUAAAAGCUGAGCAUCUUGGUUUACCCUUGGGAGCAAUCCUUUCUUCUCCUAACUCCUUUAGCAUUACCAGAAAAAGCAGAACUCAUAAAACGUUAUUACAAGCAUUACCUACUUGUAAUAAGACAGAAUGCUCACUUAAACAGGAGUUACAACAUUUGUGAGCUGCCAUGUGGGUGCUGGGAAUGAACACUCUGCAUUUCUUCAACCCUAAUGUCAUAUCCAGGAUGGACUGGUAGGAAAGCUUCCCAGAGGAAGUCCAACCUCAGACAUGAGCAGAAGGUGUUAAACAGCAGGGGAAAGAAGCAACAGGAGAGCAGUUAUGCAAAGGAAAUUUCAUUCUAGAGGCCUUAAGGGGAUAAGUGGCUAUAGGCAUUUCCAAGAACAGACCAUAGUGGGGGAGGGGAGAAAAAAUGACAUGGGAAAUGAAGUCAUAGAGGUACCACCAGUGGUGCUGAGACAGAAGGGAUGAAUUUUACAUGUGGGCGCUGGGAAAACAGCAGUUAAAGGGCUGAAGUAGAGACAUAACUGUGCUUCACUUUAGCUACUUCCCCGCUUCCUCCCUUCAAGGUCUCAUUACAUAUCACUAUGAAUGUCAGACUGGCCUUGAAGUCAUGGAGACCAGCCUGCUUCUGCCUCCCAAGAACUGGGUGGUAUCAAAGGUAUGCACUACACACCUGGCUAUCUGAAUAAUCUUGAUGAACAGGGCCUAGUCAUCUCAAACCUUAAACACAACCUACAUGCCCAUAUUUGAUAAUUGUAUUUGUAGCUAAGUCCUCUCAUCUGAACUCUACAUUCAGUUAUUCUAGUAUCUUAAAAGUAACUCAAUUGGGGUUGGGGAUUUAGCUCAGUGGUAGAGCGCUUGCCUAGCAAGGGCAAGGCCCUGGGUUUGGUCCCCAGCUCUGAAAAAAAGAAAAGAAAAAAAAAAAGUAACUCAAUCACAACUGCUUUAACUUUGUGCUUUCAGUGGAGGAAAGACAUGUAUGCCAAGGCACAGAGGUCAAAGGACAACUUCAGGAGUCGAUUCUUGCCUUAAAUCUUAUUGAAGAAAGAUCUCUGCUGUACACUCCAGACUAGCUGGCCUGACUGAGAGCUUCCAGCUAAUUCUCCUGUCCCUUCCAUCUUGCCUUUCAAGUGCUAGGAUUAAGGAUUGUACAACUACAUCUGGAUUUUUUUUUUUUUACUUUUGGGUUCUAAAAGAGUGCAGGUUAUGAGGCUUGUACAGUAAGCACUUAGAUUUGCAUAGCCAUCUCCCAAUUUGCAUAAACCAUCUCCCCAGACAUACUUUAACUUUUUUUUUCUAAUUUUUUAAUUUUUAGUUAUAUGAAUACACUGUAGCUGUCUUCAGACACACCAGAAGAGGGCACCAGAUCUCAUUACAGAUGGUUGUGUGGUUGCUGGGAGUUGAACUCUGGAAGAGCAGUCAGUGCUCUUAACCUCUGAGCCAUGUCUCCAGCCCAUAAUUUAACUUUUCAACUGGGUUUUUUCCCUCUAUUUCUCUUGCCAUAGUCUAUUGUCAAAGGCUUAAGAGUUCAGCCUGACUUGACAGACUUCUGUGUUGUGUACACUUAGCCCUAUCUAACCAACAUACUACAUCAUACUACAAGUAAAAAUAAUACUUCCAGGUUUACUUCCAAUCUCCUUGGUGAGUCUCUAUUAAGAAAUUCAAAUUCAUCUCCAACAGCCUUCUAGGCCCUACCUUAUUCUCCCACACUUCAACCUCACAGCAGGCUGAGCCCCAGAUUACACUGUAGGGAUCUCUCCCUGAGCAGUGGAUGGAUGCUGUGGCUUUCCCACACUCCCCUCCCACACCCCGCCCCCGAACACUAAUUUUCUUCCACUCUCCUUAUCUCUUCAUAGCGGACAAAUUUGCCCUUCAAGAAUUUGCCCUUCGAGACUGUUAAGCACUCCUUUCUCAAGAAACUUCACUAUUGGAGCUAGAGAAGAUGGCUCAUCAGUCAAAAGCAUGGCUGCUCUUCCAGAGGACUAAGAUUUGAUUCCCAGCACCCACAUGGUGACUCAUAACCAUCUGUAACUGCAGUAACAGGAAAUCUGAUGCUCUUUUCAGGACUCCUAGAACACUAGGCACAAACAUAAUACACAGAAACACAUGUAGGCACAACACACACAAGAAAAGAAAACCCUACUUUUUGAGAAAUAGUUCCAGAAAUGGGUAUUCACUCACCGUCUUUUACUAAUCUAGCUUUGUACUUUAAUAAACACUUUGUAGUCAAAGCUUUAAAGCCUUUCUAUCUUUUCCAUCACAAUUUCAUACAUGUACAUAUAUGUUCAUUGAACAUAUUGUUUUCUAUUCACCAAUCCUCCUAUCACUCUCCCACUUGUUUUUGAGACCAGGUUAAUUCUAAUUUCUAAUCUUCUGCUUCUGCCUCCAGAGUAGAGUCCAGGCAUGCACCAUCUUGCUGGGGUUUGAACUCAGGGCUUCAUGCCAGCCUUGCUUUCACAUACAAAAUACAAACAAACCGUUGUGUAUGCCACAGCACGUGUUGGCAGAGAACAGUGUGACCAGCUCUCUUCCACCUGUACAAGGGCUCCAGGUAGAACACUCAGGUGCCAAGCUUUGGUUAGCACCUUUCCUUGCUGACCCCUCCCGUCAGACCCUCACUUUUUUACACCUUUAUCUGCCUCGCCAUUUACUACCUCUCACUGGGUUGGACCUUUUGAGUAUUAUCUUUAAACAGUUACCUUCAGUGCCAAAUACUAGCACCCAACACCUAAGGGUUUGAGACCUAUGACCUUCAGAUGACACACCACCCACUAUUCAGAGGUCAACAGAGAGCAAAGAGGUCCUCAAGAAGUCCUCAAGACUCACAGAAUUAGAGCCUUGACCGCACAGAUGUUGUCAGCAGUCUUCUGUACGGAAUGGUGACAUGGAUGCUCCAGGAUACUAAGAAAGCAUUGAGUCCAAACUCUUCCUGACUUGCUUUCCAUUAGCUACAGUGGCUCCUGACUUGCUUUUACUGUAACACCAAUGUGCAUAGCAUGGUUUUAAUGCUCUUGGGCUUGGAAAGAAAGUACCAGCACAGAACUACUAUUUUGCUUGGGCACUUGUCUAUGGAGGGUUUCUGAAAAAGAAAUUUUCAGUGAAUACAAUGCAUUUUUGCCUGUAUCUAUUUUUUCCAACAUUUACUUAUGAAAGCCAGGGAACAACUUUCAGGAAUGAGUUAUCUUCUUCCACCAUGUGGAUACCAAGGAUCAAACAGUCAGGCUUGGUAGGUGACACAUGCUCUGAAUUAUCUUGCCACCGACAGUUCUGUACCUUUUUUUUUUAAAGUUUUUAUCUUUAUUCUUAACUGUGUGUAAAUCAGUUGUGUUUGUGCACAGGAUUGCACUCCCCAAAGAGGACAGAUGAUGUCAGGUCCCCUGGCACUUAAGUUACAGGCAGUUCUGAACUACCCGAUGUAAAACUGGGAAUGGAACUAGGGUCCUCUGCAAGAGUUUUAAGUGGUCCUAACCCUUGAGCCAUCUCUCCAGUCCCCAAACCACUAUCUUCUGAGACUGGGUCUCUCAUUAAACCCAGAGCUCACUGUUUCAGCUAGGCUGGCUGGCCAGUGAGCUCCCAGGAUCUGCGUGUCUCCACCUCCCCAGCACAAAGAUUAGAGCCACACACCUAGCAUUUUAUGGAAACAGGGAGGAUCUAAAUACAGGUCUUCAUGCCUUCAGAGCAAACAUUGAACAAAUAAGCCAUCUCCUGGAACUUCCAAUUAUUUAAAGUUACAUUUUAUUUAACUUUGCUAUAGUGGGUUUACACAAAAGGCAGGUAUAUAUAGAUCAAAGGACGGAUCAGUAAAAGAAAGGUGGUUCUUUUCUUCCUUGUGAAUCAGAGGACUGAAGCCUCUAUCAGGCUGGGCAACUGUUAACUCACAGAGCAACCUUGCCAGCAAGAUUUUUUUUUUUUUUUUGACAGUCUCAAUUACCCCAUGCUGACCCAGAACUCCAUAGGUAGCUGGAGAUGACCUUAAACUGGAGAUACUUUCUAGGACCACUUCCAAAGUGCCUGAAAAGACAAGUCCUCUUAACCAAGAGUCAUCUCUUCAGUCCCUCUCCCACCUUUAUAUAUACACACACACAUACACACAUACACACAUACACACAUACACACAUACACACAUACACACAUACACACAUACACACAUACACAGAUACACAGAUACACACAUACAUACAUACAUACAUACAUACAUACAUACAUCUUACUAUAUACUCCCCAGCUGGCCUGGAGCAAUGUAGACCAUGCUAGCUUAAACUCAGAUCUAUGCUGGACAUGUGGUACAUAUAUGACUUUAGUCCUAGCACUUGGGAGACAGGACGAUAUGAGUUCAAGGCUAGCCAAGGCUACAAAAGGAGACCAUGUCUCAAAAGCAAAAAUAAAAUCACUUCACACACUUCCCUUUGCCUCUUAAACUUUAUGAUUAAAGGCAUGCACCACCCAGCAAUUUUUCUUCUUGGUUUAGUUCUUUUAUCAUUGGCAUUUUGAGAAGUCUCUGCUUAAACUAAUGUAACCAUAGAGAAGGAGACCUGGAAGUUCAUUCACACAAAUCCACUAGAAUUUGCAUUUAAGAUUUUCUACAAUUUCUUUCCAGAACUUUGACAGUGGUAGUUAAACUAGGACUUUCAAGACCAGCCUGGGCUUCAAUGAGACCCUGUUACAAAACAAUAUACAGCGUAACACAGAUUCCAUCCGCUCUCCAGGACCCACAUGGUAUAGAACCAAACUCUGAAAGUUGUCCUCUGAUCGACACACAAAGCAAAGGGGAAUGUCUGCCCCGCUGUAAUGAUGAUGAUGAUGGCGGCAGAACUAGUGCCUUAUUCUAAUGUAUGCUGAACAUGGCAAAUCAAGGUAUUUAAUAAAUUCCUUACUAAUGUGUUUAAGAAAAUCUGUUCUAGACAGACAUCGUGGCACACACCUUUAAUUCUAACACUCGGGAGGCGGAAAUGGAGGAGGUAAUUUGUGAGUUCAAGGUCAGGAAGCUCUACAAAGCAAGUUCCAGGCCGACAGAAGUUAUAGACUGAAAUCUUAUCUCAAAGGAGGAUGGAAGAAAUAAGUCCUAAACAAAAUGAAAUUUAGUCUCAUCUAAAGUGGAAUGGUGAAAACCCAGAAUCUAAAGUUAAAAGAAAUCCAGAGCGAAAAGAAAGCUUUCUAGCUUCUUUCCGUACUGUAGGAAUGAGCCAAAACAAGGAGACAUAUUUAACAAUUCACCAAUCACUAAAUUUGAUCUUGGGUAGCCUGGAUUAAAAAGUAGCCCACACGCUGUAAAAAGGUAGUCACUAGCAUUCGUAAUAAAGAUUACUUUAGUAUGAGCUCAAUAAGUAAGGUUAUUCUCUGGUGACAGAGCACUGCGGCGGCUUGUAGACAUGUGGCCUCUUUUGGACCGAAAGAAUUGUUGGAUUACUUGGAGUGCUACUACGAACGGUGCACUCAUUUGGGAAAUGAACCCAACUGCACAGCUCAUAUAAAGAUCUGUGGUGUACUAUAUAUACUCUAUAAAGUAUGCCUAAGCAAAGGAAAUUCUAAAGAGGACGCUACUUUAAUCAAUGAUAAUACAACCAAAGCCUCUGUUGUUCCGGGAAACUCUAGCAGAAGAUGACCCGCUCUCCCGGAGAAAGUAGCCAAUGAAAGGACUGGCGAUUCCCCGAUCCCUCGGGAGCUCUCGCCGCCGCUUCAGCUCCUGACUCUGCUUGCCACAGGCCCCCAGGAUACCGCAAGAGACCGAGACCCCAUGAGAUCCCGCUUCGCUUUCGCUGGCCCCAUCAGAGGGCUCUCUCGCCCUUUUCGCUGCUCCGGCUCCGCCGCCGAACAUCGACCAACAAAAACGCGGUCAGUCAGCAGACCAGAGGCUGUCCCACCCCGCGCCGACUGCCCCUGGACCCUCCACCAGGCGCAACACAAGCCGGGGCCGGCCGGACAGCCAGCAGGCGCCGCUGUGGCGCCGCCUUCAGAACCAACAGCCUCCAGCUACCUCCGAGCUUCCCGUCUAAAGCCUCACAGAGGUGAGGACUGUCCGCGCAGGCGCGCCCCUGACGCGGCCCGCGCUCGCCACUUCCGCCCGAGCGGGAGGCGGGGGAGGUGACACGGAGCCGGCAGGCGCGAGCUCGGAUCCUCCGAAGACCGGGACUCCGCGCGGACCUGAGACUCACCAAGUAUAACGGCUGCCAGCGACACUGAGCAUCCAGUUCCUCGAACUCCCGCUCGAUGGUAGCCGACAUGGCGGCGGGGGAGCGCGAGCGGAACCACCACAGCGGACAGGCUCGGGCCCCGCUCUAUCCGGGGAGAGCGCUGGCACUGUGGCGCAUGCGCGCUCCGCGCCCCGCCCCGCCCCCACGUUGAGCCAAGCCGGCCUUGGGGAAAGUACCUGGAGCGUCGGACGUCAGCGCGCCGCUUGGGCGCCGCGUGGGUCGGACGUCGUGGAGGAGGCGGGGCGGGGCGGGGGCGUGGUCCUGAGGUUGCCCAGGUGGGAGGGGCGGGGCCGGGCGCCACCCAGGAGCUACAUUGGACAGAGUAGCCCAGGAGGUGAGAAAGUCCCUGGAAAGUCUCUGGCCAGCUCGUCUUCCUGGCCGUUCCAGUUCUCCUUUUCUCCUUUAGUCUUCAAGGUUUUUUUUCUUAAACUGCAGUAACCGUUUUCUAUUUAAAUACCAUCUAGGUUAGUCAGUGGCCUGUGUUCAACUUUGAAACACAUUAGGGUAAUGUCAGUCUCAGCAAGUUUUGUGCCAAGCAAACCGCUAUAGGGAAAGGGAAGGCGUUUAGGAGAAUAUGUCUUGUUUAGUUUAGAAUGUAACUCCCAGAUCCAAAGUUAGUGUAAGUCCCCUCCUACGAAACAAGUGCCUGGCUCCGGAAAUCAUUUUGCCUCAGAUUUAAGAUAACUCAACGUUGGUGAACUCAUGUGCUUAAGAAUCUUACCAUCCGAUAAUCUUAAAAGAGAUGUGAAAAAUGCUUCUGGGCCUUUUGGCCAAGAUCAAGUGAAAAGCUGUGAAGGGGUGGAGAAGCAUGAACUGUUGUCCAAUAUUGAAUUUAAAAUUUUAUCUACAGUUAACUCCAUUCUGGGAAUUCAGAGAAGCCCUGUUUUCAACCCCAGCACUGGGCACAAAGAGCAAAAUCCCUAAAUACAGCAAUUCCAUUUCUCAGUGUCUGUCUGCUUACUUGCUCUGUAGCCUCAUGGGGGCUAGUGGCUGCUCUGUGGUGAAAAGCACAAGUAGAAUGUUUGUGUCAUCAAGGAACAUUCUUCGGUUUGAUUGGUUGGGGUUGGGGUUGGGUUUUUUGGUUGGUUAGUUGGUUGGUUUUAUUUUGAAAAGGGCUCAAAGACCAGCCUAACCUCCAAGCUAUGGAGGUUUCAAAAUGAACUCAGGGCCUUGCAUAUGCUAAGCAAACACUCUUACUUAGCUAUAGCCCCAGUUUGCCCUUUCUUUCUUUUCUUCUUUCUUUCUUUAAGAUUUAUUUAUUAAAUACACCGUAGCUGUCUUCAGACACACCAGAAGAGGGCGUCAGAUCCCAUUACAGAUGGUUGUGAGCUACCAUGUGGUUGCUGGGAUUUGAACUCAGGACCUCUGGAAGAACAGUCACUGCUCUUAACCGCUGAGCCGUCUCUCCAGCCCCUCUUUCUUUCUUUCUUCCUUCCUUUCUUUCUUUCUUUCUUUCUUUCUUCCUUUCUUUCUCUCUUCCUUUCUUUCUUUCUUUUUUCAAUUUAGGCGGACUCAUCUGUUCAAAGCACUGGGUGCUGUUUCAGAAGACUGGUGUGGUUGCUCACAACCAUCUGUAAUUCCAGUCCCAGGGGUCUGAUGCCCUUUUCUUGUCUCCACAGAUACCAGGCACACACUAUUUUGCCUGCAAAAUAAUGGUGCACAUAAAGAUUAUUCUUUUUUUAGAUUUUUAUUUUAGGGUUUCACUAAGUUCAGCAGGCUGGCCUUGAACUUAUUCUCAAGCUGAAUCAAGCCUGUACUUGCAAUUCUCUAAGUAGCUGGGGUUAUAUAGGCCUGCCUCCUGAGGCUUGUGUUUCGUUUUGUUUUGGUAGGGUCUUAUGUUGUAGUCCAGUACAGUCUUAAACUUGACAUCCUCUUGCCUCUGCCUCCCAACCACUAGGGUUAUAGGCUUGUACAACAUAUUCCUGACAGAUUGUAUUUCUAGAGGAAUAAACAAGCUGAUUAGUCCAACUAAAUCAAGCAGCAGGCUUACACCAUCAUCCAGGGUGUGCCUAGUUCACAAUGGCUGAUAGCCAGUGAAAAGGGAAAAUGAUGAGGUCGUCCACGAGUGGUGCUAGACUCAAAAGGGCCAAAUGUAUUGUGUGUCUCCAUUUACAUGAAGUUCAAGAGCACAGAGGUGAGUAAUGCUGGGGCAGCCGGGAUGGUCGAGGAGUAUUGGUUGUUCCAGAAUGUUGAGGAUAUUUUACAUCUUUAAGUGCAAUAUUGUACAUAAUAUAGUCAUAUUUUGUGUGUAUUAGUCAAUGAGCUGUGCAUGUAAGAUUUUUCUAACUUUAUGCCAACAUCAAUAAAACUAUAAAGUUUUUUAAAA